CAAUAUUCAAAUUAUUCUGUCAACUUUCUGUUGUAUGCUGCCUGUAACAAAGUGUUUCGAGAAAAAGCAAAAGAAAUAUUUGGAUUAAAACCGAAAGGAUUCAGAUACAAAAACAAAAGAAAGAAUAAUCAACGGUCUUCGUCGAUUUCUCAUAUGACGACAUCCAUCAACAAUUCAGUUAACAAACUGGUUUCUGAUACAUAUGAUGAUCAUUCAGACUAUUCAGAGGAUAUUCAAACUAAUGCUAAUGAAUAUGUUGAUAAAAAUCCUAAUUCUCAAACGGCCGUUUAAUUUGACACAUACCAACAUAUAUAAUUAUUGAUCAAACAUCAUUGUAACUUCA